UACGGGGGGGGCAAGCGUUGUUCGGAAUUACUGGGCGUAAAGGGCUCGUAGGCGGCCAACUAAGUCAGACGUGAAAUCCCCCGGCUUAACCUGGGAACUGCGUCUGAUACUGGACGGCUUGAGUAUGGGAGAGGAACGUAGAAUUCCAGGUGUAGCGGUGAAAUGCGUAGAUAUCGGGAGGAACACCAGUGGCGAAAGCGGCUACCUGGCCCAUUCUUGACGCUGAGGCGCGAAAGCUAGGGGAGCAAACGGG
rnacentral:rRNA from 1 species